GAGAUUUAACCCAUAUUAAAUUUGUGUUUUGUAUUCUGAUUUCUGCUUGUUGCAAAUAGCCCUGAGAAGAAAGCUCCCAGGCACAGAUACACCAGAGGCUAAAAGGGCGUUAGCUUUCCUGGUCCUAAUGGACAUGACGUGUUGCAGAGUUCAUCCUUCCCGUCAUGUGGCCUGACACAACGGGAAGAGAAAGAGAGAGAAUUACGCAGCUCUGCAUUCUCCUGGGGCGCUCUCCCAUGGACACAGCGCACCGGACACAGCCUGUGUGUCAGGAGACUCCCGUUCUGCUUCCCUUCUUCUCACAGUGAAUAAUCUCCUGUAAUCAAAUGCACCAGUAACAUAAAGGUGAAUCAGAUAUCCUCAGUCAUUUAAUGCCCCGAGAUCUGCACCUGGAAAUGUACUGCAAGUUGAGGACUAUUGUUGUCAGCUUCCCCUGACUUUGGUAGGUUCGAGAUCAGGAGGAGCCAAGCCCAUGGAAGCAGGGUCAUUCCUCAGCUCUUGCUCUUUUUGCUGAAACGGUUACUGCCCUUGUUUUUAUGGUUACCAAGACAGGCAUCGAUGUAUAAAUCAGCGCACUUCAGUCUUGCUGAGUCUGCUAGACAAACUCGCACAGUCCCAGCAGAGGUGUGAACUUCCCCAAUUAAUCUUAAUGAAGUGUUAACUUCAAAGCUGAGCUGUAGCCAUUUAUAGGUUAACAGAACCUUAGAGGAAAAACACCCGCCCAGCUUGACUUGCUAGAAAAUAGCUCCAAGGGGACAGGGAGAGGAUUGGUCAAAUUUGGUGGCUAUUCCCGGAUCUGGAAAAAGUCCCACUUCACUGACAGCCUUUGCUUGUGCACCACUUCCAUUGCAGCUGCAUUGUUAAGAGACUACAGGGUCAGGCAGCCAGACUGGAAAAAUUGUACAGUGAAUGCAUGCUAAAAAUAUCACUGGAAUGGAGCAGAUGGAGCAAGAUAAGGAGGCCUGGACGAUAAAGGCUAAGAGGAGCUGUGUAAACUUAUAGAGCCCAGUGAUGACCUUGCUCAUGCCAUCCUUUAUUUUAUUGAUGCUAGUGAAAUGUCAGAGCCAAAUUCAACUUCUGAGCCCAGAUUUAAUCUACAUAUUUUCAGAGUCCUUAGCUACCCAGUUGAUGACUCUAGGAUGCAGAUCUGUUAUCCUGAAAACAAAGCGUAUGCUUCAAACUGGUCUGUAGAUGAUGCUUAUGGAAUUACUAUUACAUUUUUACUAGCAUCACUUUCAGCUAUGGUUGCGUUAGUGCAUUUGAAUGUGUGUAUCCAUAUUGUGAACCCAAAAUACAAGUCUCUGGGAACAAGUCCUUCAUUUGGAGGAGUCUUACAACAUUGUUUUCCUGAUACAAUGACAUUAAAGUGGAGCCUCUGCAAGGAAAUCUUCCUUGACAUGUUUCUACCUGAGUUUUCCUGCUCGAGGUAUAUGAUUUGCAGCCAAGAAGCCCACCUAAGAAUUGGGGAGGGAAGAUGUGGCCUGUGGAAUGAGGUCUAAUCUUGGAUCCAAUCAGUAUGUAUUGACUUCCUAUUUUCAACUUAAAGUGAUUGAUCUUUUUCCUCAUUUAUACCCUCUGAAAAUAGACUGAAUGCAUUGAACUGGUGCAGCUUUAGGGACUGUAUAAACAGACUGGCAGAACCCUCCCUGGAGGGUUUCCAGGGAUGUAUCCCCAGCUCAGAUUUGCGUGACUUUUGCAUUCAGGUGCUCCGACAAGUGAAAACAGAGGUGCCUCAUUCUUAACUGUCAAAGGCAAUAGAAAAAAAGCAUCACUCAUUUGAAACAGUUGAUCUAUCCCCCAAAGGCAAAGUUGCUAUGCAGAGCAAUGCAGGUUUGCAUUCCAGAUAUAAGAACUUUAACAUAAAAAAGGAAGAUUCUUCCUGGCACUUUAUUACAAGCUCCCUUGAAGACCUCUGACUCAGCUGAUUACUAACUGCCAGAACAUGCCCACAUUUGCCAGUGUAAGCUUCUAAAAUAUAAAAAUGGAAAGAAAAAGAUUAAUUAUUCCUAUUUUGAGAAGCUCAAAAGUAAAUGGCUGUGUUGCUGUGGAUGCUGGGUUUUGUUUAUAGUACCCUUUUUUUCCGCGUUAUUAGCUACUAUUAACUAACAAAAAGCAGGAGUUCACUGCUAGCUUUGCAUCAUGAUGUCUAUCUGAACUCCCCUCUGCCCUCACCAUGCAGCUAUUGGUAACGAUGGGGCACCACAUUUGCAAAAUUGUAGUUUAUGACUAAAAGAUGGGUGCUGGUCGCGUGCUGCAGAGUGUCUAGUGAACAGUAACAGUACUUCACAUCCCUGGGAUUUUCUUCUGAGUACCUCAAAGGCAACUAUGCUCAUCAGGGCCAGGAAGCAGUUAUUUUCCCAUCGCAAAGUGAUUUCAUGCUAGCAGUUACAGUGCAUUCUCCUUUCUCUGAAACAUGUCGCAUUAGGCGAGGCAGACCAGUAAUCUGAGCUUGGUAACAGUGGUCAGGUAAAGCCGAUAGUAGAGUGAAGCUGGGGAAGGGCGAGAGGACACACUCCUUUUGGCACUCGCGAGUCACCCAGUGCUGGCGAUAGGAAGCAGUUAUUUCACAUACACAGUUAUAACAUGACUGGGGGGAGAGGGUCUCUCAGCAGACUCAAGCUGUUAGAUCUAUUGAGCUGUUGUGACACUUCGCUCUCCAUCAUGAAACCUAAUUCACAGCUGCCAAUAAGUUUUCUCUUUCCUGACUUAAGGAGGCUCUAUUUUUUCAUUACGAUAGGAAUGCUAGCGGCUGUUUGCUGUGAAAUGCAAGCGGCACAGGCUGGCGGCGAGCUCGGUGCUGCUGGGAGGCUGUGCUGCUUCUCCCCAGGCUCGGCUAACAGGAAAGCUCUGCUCGCGAUUCCUUGGCCAGGAACACGUUGCAGAUUGCUAAUCCAGUUCCCGUCGCCUCCUUCCCAGGACGUGUGUUCGGGUGGGACAGUUCAGGCUGCACAGAGUCGUUCUUAAUCCUUUAGGGACCGGCUGCUACAAAAGCUAAGCCUUCAGCAGCACCCAGUACAGUAAUAAUGUCUACGUUUUUCAGUAAGAUCCAACUUGAAAAUCUGGCUGUGCUCGGUUCUCCCAAGACUGACCUUGAUGUGUAUAUGGGAACACAGUGGAAUAGCUGUGCUUGGGCUUGUCAGAUACAGCCUAUACAUUUCUGCUUUUUAAUUGCAUACCCCAUAUGCUCUUCAUUUAGAGGAUUUUGCACAGACCAGAAACUAAUUACUAGGAGAAAUAAUGACUCUAGGUUUUACAGGUUAACAAUUAAGGUUUAAAACUUCACACCAUUUCUUCUCUCAAUUGUUACCAUUUACAUAGUAACAGCAGAAAGAAACAAUGCGCCUCACAACAAAAAAAAUCCUAUUGAAUGGGAAAAAAACAAGUGCUUCCCUAAAGGCUGCUCUGCAGGCCUGCCAAGACACUUACAAAUAAGGUAUGUUGUUGUAUUUUUCUUCACAAUCCGAUUUGCAUGGUGAUAGAGCUUGCAAUAGUUUAAAUUCAGACCAACGAAUAUACUCUGUCUGUUUAAAUACCAAAUCACUAAGGCCACAGCAGCACAAAUUCUUAGGUGUCCCUCAUCUCCUAGUAAACUCAGUACUAAUGAACAAAGUGGCAUGAGUGCACAUGCUUGUGCCUACGUGCGCUUGUGUAUGUAUAUAUGGAAUAACAAAGUAAACUAUGACUCCUCCGUCUGAAAAGAGAUGACAGAGGGGGGAAUACAGUAGGUCUGCACUGCCAGGUGUCACGCAGAAGGUGAAUAAGAACUGACUGCUCGCACUCUGUUUCACUUCAAGAGCUAAUGGGUAUCAGAUGAAGCUAACAGAUACCAGGUUCAAAACAAACAACGAAGAUGUGGUUCUUCAUAUCAUUUAAUUAUGCUGUGGAAUUCCUUGCCACAGGAUGCUAAAGAUUUACAUGGGUUCAAGGGAAGACUGGGCAAGUUCAAGGAAGGGAUAUCCAUUGACGAUUAUUAAAUAUAAAGUCACUGGCUCUGGUUCACUGAGCUAUAAAUGGUUGGAGGUUGAGGGAGUAUUUGGGGGAAAUAUUACUUCUCCGUCAGCAUAUGCCUGCUUGACUCGACUCUAACACUCCUCCAUGAAUGUCUGCUUUUGACUACUGCUGGAGAGCAGGAUAUGGGGGGAGAGGGAUCUUGGUCUUUUCUCAUGUGAUAUUUUCAGGUAUCACGUAAAUCCAUGUCUGAGCAUAUGCUUUAUAUGCUUUAACAGCUUUGUGGCAACGUGGAGCAUCAGCCUCACCAACUAUUUCAACUGGAGGGACAGGGUUGUGAUGAUACCGUUCAUAUUUAAGUAGAUCAGGAUCAAGUCCUGAAGAUGAAGACUGAGAUGAACAGAUCAAUCGAUUGCAAUAGUAGUACCUGAGGACAGGCCUACCCCCUAAGCAGCAUUUUGCACAGGUCUAAAUAUUCAUGUUUUUGAGAUCCAGUACAGGACUAAUGCCAUGGCUUAAGUUGGGCCUUGCUGUAUUAACCUCUUUCUGAACAGAGUAAGUUCCCAGAGACCCAAUAUAUCUUUCACUUUUGGCUCCCACUGAAAUGUUUCGGUUUUUAGUAAAAUAAAAUAGUAAAAAGAAAAUAAAAACCAAAAUAGUGAUCUAUUUUAACAUGUAGAUUCAUGGAAAAGAUCUGUUGGAGUUGCCUGUUACAAUUACAGUAUACAUAAUAUACUAACGCUUUUCAGCCUUUCAUAGUGUGGCCUUGAUUUUAACAGACUAUGGAAAGGCAGAGAAGUGCUAAUGUGAAUCAUGGACAAUCAUGUGAAUCACUUCCCCUUGCAACUCUGAUCACACAGCAUACUCUGGCAGGCACAACGAUAACAUUUAUGGAAAAAUAAUGGCAAUUAUAUCAUUAAUGUGUUAAGCUGCUGAAAAUAAGACCACCACCACACGCUAUUCAUCCCCUCUCUGUGGACCACUAAUGAUAUAUUUACUAAGGUUGCCAAGCCAUAGGAACAUACAGCCCUGUAAUUAAUAGCUUGAGUCAUUCAAAUGAAAAUUUUCUACACUGAAAUUCUAUAACUCUAAUUAAGGAAAACUAUACUUGCUACAUAUUUUUUGUAGUAUUAUUGUUUUGCUUAUUACCUUUGUUAUAGUACUGUUUACAAGACUUGUAAGUGGUAAAUGAAAUAAUGAGAGUACUAAUUGCAAAAAAGGAAAAGUUUUCGGACCUGAAUUCGUAGGUCAAUAUCACACACCACGGAUCAAAAUAAGAAAGUAAGUCCUUUUCCCUUUUCCUACUGAUGCAGCACCAAAUUCAGUUCUUAAUUAAAAGCACAGUUGCCAUAAUCACAGUGCAGGGUGUUGAGACUUUUGUUCUAUUAUUAGGCUGGGUAAACAAAGUGCAAAGAAGGAUCUGAGGACUUCGAGUGUCAGCAUUCAAAGAAACGCCUGGGUUUCUGUCGUACUCAGCAGAAACGGAUGAUGAUCAUGACACUGUAAGAAAAUGGAUUUGGCUCAUCAAAUCCGGCACUUCAUCUCCAUUAUGAAAAGUCUCUCCGUUAGAAUGAGAAAGAAAAAAUGGGGAGCAAUGGACUGCAAGUGACAAACUGCAGAGGCAGGAGUGACAGCGAGUCGAAAACGCACCGCAGAAGACAGCACUGUAUUAGCAGCUCUCUCUCUCUGUUGGAAGUGGCAAUGCCAAUGGCUAGCUAGAAAUGGAAGACUAGUGUGGACAGAAAGAGAAAGGACCUGAACUGCUACCCACGAUCUCAUCUGCAGCCAAAGCAAGAAUUUAAUUUGUAUCUUUAAAUAGUCAGUCCCGUUACUUCAGAGUGAUUUGCUGUUCUCAGUGCUUUUCGUUUCAGUCUGAUGUUAAAUUUCCAUAGGAAAAGCAUUGUACCUCUGCAGACAAUAAACCCCAUGAAGCUGUGGCAAUAAAUGAGCACGGAAUGGAAUAGCUCUCAUUCAACAGCUUCCCGUUGGCUGCAUUACCACCUUUCUCGAUUAUUGCCGCUUCCUCCCCAGCCUGCCUCAGUUCCUGGAAGAACACAGUAAAAUGCACCCGAGGCGGUUUAGCACUCAGCUCGUUCCCACUAACUCACUCUAGCAGACUUGAACAUCCUGACCUUACUUCCUAAUUCUGCACCAUACUCUCUGCAUGUGAAAAAAAAAGAAAAAUAUUGUAUUAUUUUAAUCUACUAUUAGAUAUUAAUAAUUUUGUUAUUAUCCUAGUUAUUUUUAUCAGUGACACAUUAUGUCCAGACAUCUUUGCAGGGGACGUUGCUGAAGAUAGACAUGGUGAGUUAGUGGACAAGGGUGCUAUAGUGCAUUGUCUGUGCAGUUACUGAUGAUGAGACUAUAAAGAUACCUUCUCACACACAUCAUAUUGUAUCUUGCUUUGUGUCCAAGCUUACUCUUUCUGUCAAUCAAUAAACAAUAGGUUUAUAUGCCUUGUAAAUGUACCAUUUCCACUUUCAUUUCCUCUACCACUUCCCAUCCAACUCAAAGUCUUCCUUAAGACUCAGGAGAUGCAUAGACAUUCAAAGUAUUACUGUCAUGUCACACUCAAACAACAUAUGCCUAAAGUGACUCUGGCUUUCCUAAACUGAGCCUUUUCUAAAGCUGUCCUAAUGCAGGCUGUCUUAUUUGUAUUAAUCUUUCAGCUAGCAAGUUCAUCAAAGAAGUGACUCCUAAUUUCAGCAUGAUUUAAUCUCUGUGUCUUGGACAUCUCCAGGGGACUGAGACAAGGUGCACAACCAGUUGGUGUGGCCACUGGCAAACUGACAAAUAGUUGUUGGGAACCAGUGUAAGAGCACCUCUCCAGAGACUACCCUUGAUCCUACAUCCCCACCUCUGUCCUCUCCUUUGCUCUCACCGGUUAUUGGCCAGUCAGGAGUUCUCCGGGAUUUCUUGCAGCUGAUGCGGCGAGCAGGACUGAGCUGGGAGGGCACUAAGCAUCGGACUCUCGCGUCCCAGGCUGGGGCCGCGCGGGUUUGGGAAAGCGGAGGACUAAGCUGCAGAGCAGGGGUCAAGACUCCCGGCGGUGACAGCCGGCACACUGCUCAUCCCACUGCUUCUUUCAUUUGAAAUUGUUGCAGGCAGAGCGAUUUCAGAAAAGCAGCCCCUAGGACGAUUACUGCUUGCAAGAUCCAGAAGGCAAGAGCCAAACCUUUGCUCGCUGAAGAGUCACGGCUUCACAUGGUAGGAAAACACUUUUAAUUCCCUUGGCAGCAACCUCUAGCAUCACUAUGAAGGGCAGAACAGAUUUUAGCUUCUCUGCUUUCCCCCACACCUGCUCUUUUGCAGCUCAGGAAGAAGGUCUGAGAUUCUGGAGCAUUUCAGCACGUUAGCUUUCUGUUCUGCAAAGGCCUGUAUCCAUGGGGUGGAGGGCAGGCUAUAAAACGACAUGUUGGAAGCAGUUUUAGUCCCCUGGCUGUGUCUGGACUGAGGAACGUGGGUUUCACAGCGUUCAGACGGCUCCUCAGCCUGGGUGUGUUGUCUGCUCAGUGCCCAGGUUCCAGGCUUUUCUCUGUAUUUUCGCUUUUAAGAGAAGGAAAUCUGUAUGUGUGGGCCAGAUGGGGGUCACUAUGUUGUUUAUUCAGAUUCUAGGUCAGGAUAUCAAGGAGCAAGGCCUAGGAACAUCUGGUGGUACGCACAGCUCAUCUGAAGCAUCACCUGGUAGAAGUCCCCAUUGCCGGUGUGGGAAGAGGCCCUUGAUGUGAUCUGCAGAAACCUGGCUGCUCCUGUUGUCCUGACUUUUCUCUUAUUUUAGCUGUUAGAGCAUAUUAAAUAAGCAUUUUCCCAGUGUUUCUCUCCCAUGCAAGCUUCUGCUGUAGUUGCCAUAGGGAUGGCCUGUGACUGCGCCUGGCAAGGAUCUCAAGGCCAUCUCUCUGGUGAUGUGAUGUCUGCUGUCAGUGAGUGAAAGGCCCUACUCAUUUGCAUUUCACAGCUCCAGUGAUGUUGAUUGCCAGCAUCAGAGCAGAUUAAAAGAAUGAUUUGUUUUACUUAAUUUAUUUUUUUUUCCUGCAGGCCAGUUGCAAUUCUAUUUUAUAUUCUCUUCUGAUAGAAGUCAACAUGAAUCAAGCCUAGGAACUCAUCAUCUGAGGCAAAGAAUAUGCUGUUGACCUUAUCUCCAAUCUUGAGAUGUCAUAUAGAUUUUCAAGAUGCAUAAAGCCUAAGGAAUUGAUCUGUGCAUGCAGGGGAUCAGUGGUCAACUGCUUACUUCAAAAGUCAUUUUUGCAGAAUGGCAUUAGUCAUUUACAUGCAACAGAAAAUGAGGAAAGUAGCCUUUCUUGUGCUUUAUUGCUUUAGUUUGCAAAAGAGCAUGUUGACAAUAUUGUUCUGAAUUAAAAGAUGUUCUGAGCCCAAGAUGUGAUAAACAUGAUACUCAAAGAAGAGAAUAAAGGCAGUAUUUGAAGGAG